rnacentral:rRNA from 1 species
GCCUAACACAUGCAAGCCGAGCGGCAGCACAAGUAAGUUUACUUAUGAGGUGGCGAGCGGCGGACGGGUGAGUAAUGCCUAGGGAUCUGCCCAGUCGAGGGGGAUAACAGUUGGAAACGACUGCUAAUACCGCAUACGCCCUACGGGGGAAAGAGGGGGACCUUCGGGCCUCUCGCGAUUGGAUGAACCUAGGUGGGAUUAGCUAGUUGGUGAGGUAAUGGCUCACCAGGGGCGACGAUCCCUAGCUGUUCUGAGAGGAUGAUCAGCCACACUGGGACUGAGACACGGCCAGACUCCUACGGGAGGCAGCAGUGGGGAAUAUUGCACAAUGGGGGAAACCCUGAUGCAAGCCAUGCCGCAGUGUGUGAAGAAGGCCUUCGGGUUGUAAAGCACUUUCAGUAGGGAGGAAAGGGUGAGUCUUAAUACGGCUCAUCUGUGACGUUACCUACAGAAGAAGGACC